rnacentral:rRNA from 1 species
UCAAAUCGAGAAGAGCACGAGGCGGAUGCCUUGGCACAUGGCGCCGACGAAGGACGGUCAAGCACCGAUAGCCGCGGGGAGUCCAAAAGACAGUGAUCCGUGGGUUUCCGAAUGGAGCAAUCCGGCAGGUGAAGAACCUGUCAUCCUACCGCCAAUCCAUAACGGUAGGAGGGGAUACCCGGCCAACUGAAACAUCUCAGUAACCGGAGGAAAAGAAAGCAAACGCGAUUUCCUCAGUAGCGGCGAGCGAACGGGAAAGAGGCCGACAGUGAAUAAGACGAAAGAGACCCAGGCGAAUCUUCUGGAAAGAAGAACCAAAGAAGGUAAAAGUCCUGUAACUGAAAGGUUUUGACGUUGUCACGAGAGAGUACCAUCGAACACGAGAAAUUUGGUGGGAACAUGGGAGGACCACCUCCUAAGCCUAAAUACGUCCAUGUGACCGAUAGUGAACAAGUACCGUGAGGGAAAGGUGAAAAGAACCCCGGAAGGGGAGUGAAAGAGAAUCUGAAACCUUGUGCUUACAAGCAGAUAGAGGGGUCAUGCACCCUGAUAUCGUACUUUUUGUAGAACGGGCCAGCGAGUUAUAUUCGUAAGCGAGGUUAAGCCCUACAGGGGCGGAGCCGAAGGGAAACCGAGUGUGAAACGCGCGAGAGUUUGCGGAUAUAGACCCGAAACCGGGUGAUCUAGUCAUGAGCAGGAUGAAGUAGAAGUAAAAUUCUAUGGAAGACCGAACCAGGUGCGGUUUAAAACGCAUUGGAUGACUUGUGAUUAGGGGUGAAAAGCCAAUCGAACCCGGAGAUAGCUGGUUCUCCUCGAAACCACUUUAGGGUGGGCCUCAUGUGUAAGAUAAAGGGAGGUAGAGCACUGAAUGGUCGCGGGGGAUAUAUCCUACCAACACCUAUCAAACUUCGAAUUCCGUUUAUUAUCCAUGGGAGUUAGACUAUGUGGGAUAAGCUUCAUAGUCGAAAGGGAAACAGCCCAGACCGUCAGUUAAGGUCCCUAAAUCAUGUUCAGUGGAAAAGGAGGUCAUUCUACUUAGACAACCAGGACGUUGGCUUAGAAGCAGCCAUGCAUUGAAAGAGUGCGUAAUAGCUCACUGGUCGAGUGGAGCGGCGCCGAAGAUACACGGGGCUAAACAUGAUACCGAAGCUACGGGAUUGAUCGAGACAAAAAGUAUUUUGUUAAACACGCUUAUAACUGUGAAGACUAGAAAUAUCGAAGUCAAAUUUCUAAGACGAAAACGCGUUAAAGAAAUUGAGGUAAGAAGCAAGUUAUCUUAAUGAAUUAAUGCAAUUUCACGCAAGAAAGAUUCACAAGAAAAGCGCGAAGUAACAGAAUACUUUUUGUCUUGACAAUCGGUAGAGGAGCAUUGUAUGUUCACUGAAGCAAAAGGGGUAACCCAUUGUGGAGGGCAUACAAGAGAGAAUGCUGGCAUGAGUAGCGAGAAGGCGAGUGAGAAUCUCGCCCGUCGAAAGCCGAAGGAUUCCUGAGCAAGGCUCGUCCUCUCAGGGUUAGUCGGGACCUAAGCUGAGGCCGAAGGGCGUAGGCAAUGGAUAUCCGGUGGAGAUUCCGGAACUGUUUUUACUCGUUUGAGAGAAGUGUUGACGCAGAAGGCUAAGGGAAGCAGGCGAAAGGUAGAGCCUGUCCAAGGAGGUAGGCUAGUUCGGUAGGUAAAUCCGCCGAAUGGUGCUGAGAUCUGAUGGGGACCGAAAAAUAAGUAGGGAAGUCUCUGAUGCCCGGCUGCCGAGAAAAGACGCUAUCGAGAGUAAGAGCACCCGUACCAAAACCGACACAGGUUGGCAGGAUGAGAAUUCUAAGACGCGCGGAAGAACCUUUGUUAAGGAACUCGGCAAAAUGACUCCGUAACUUCGGGAGAAGGAGUGCCAUAUAAAAAUAGAACUUUGCGUUCGACGAAUCGUAUGGCUGCAGUGAAUCGGCCCAAGCGACUGUUUACCAAAAACACAAGUAUCUGCGAAGUCGUAAGACGAAGUAUAGGUGCUGACACCUGCCCGGUGCUGGAAGGUCAAGGGGAAGCGUUAGCGCAAGCGAAGCGUUGAACUUAAGCCCCAGUAAACGGCGGCCGUAACUAUAACGGUCCUAAGGUAGCGAAAUUCCUUGUCGGGUAAGUUCCGACCCGCACGAAAGGUGUAACGA